GGUCAAGCUACAAAGGGCGCAUGGUGAAUGCCUUGGCAUCAGGAGCCGAUGAAGGACGUGAUAAGCUGCGAUAAGCUUCGGGUAGGCGCACAUAGCCUGAGAUCCGAAGAUCUCCGAAUGAGGAAACUCACAUGGGAAACCCCAUGUAUCAUUAAGUGAAUACAUAGCUUAAUGAAGGUAACCCAGGGAACUGAAACAUCUAAGUACCUGGAGGAAGAGAAAGAAAAAUCGAUUUUCUUAGUAGCGGCGAGCGAAAGGGAAAGAGCCCAAACCGGAAACUUGUUUCCGGGGUUGUGGACAUAGCAUAAAAGUGGAGGCUAUUGUAACUGAAGAGAACUGGAAAGUUCCACCGUAGAAGGUAAUAGUCCUGUAAGUGAAACGAGAAGACCACGAGUUAUGAUCCAGAGUACCACGAGACACGUGAAACCUUGUGGGAAGCAGGGAGGACCACCUCCCAAGGCUAAAUACUACCUGAUGACCGAUAGUGAAGCAGUACCGUGAGGGAAAGGUGAAAAGAACCCCGGGAGGGGAGUGAAAUAGAACCUGAAACCGUGUGCCUACAACCGCUCAGAGCCCCUUAUGAGGGUGAUGAGGUGCUUUUUGUAGAACGAGCCAACGAGUUACGGUAUGUAGCAAGGUUAAGUACUUAAGGUACGGAGCCGAAGGGAAACCGAGUCUGAAUAGGGCGACUAGUUGCAUGCCGUAGACCCGAAACCGGGUGACCUAUCCAUGGCCAGGUUGAAGCGAGGGUAAAACCUCGUGGAGGACCGAACCACGUUGCUGUUGAAAAAGCAUGGGAUGAGCUGUGGAUAGCGGAGAAAUUCCAAUCGAACCCGGAGAUAGCUGGUUCUCUCCGAAAUAGCUUUAGGGCUAGCGUCGAGUAUGAGUAGUGGAGGUAGAGCACUGAAUGGGCUAGGGGGCAUAGCGCUUACCGAACCUUAUCAAACUCCGAAUGCCACAUACUUUGAGCUCGGCAGUCAGACUACGAAUGAUAAGAUCCGUGGUCAAAAGGGAAACAGCCCAGAUCGUCAGCUAAGGUCCCAAAGUGUAAGUUAAGUGGGAAAGGAUGUGAGAUUUCUAAGACAACUAGGAUGUUGGCUUAGAAGCAGCCAUUCAUUAAAAGAGUGCGUAAUAGCUCACUAGUCGAGAGAUCUUGCGCCGAAAAUGUAACGGGGCUAAACUUACCACCGAAGCUACGGGCUUGAACUUAGUUCAAGCGGUAGGAGAGCGUCGUAACCGGGCUGAAGUCGUACCGUAAGGAGCGGUGGACUGGUUACGAGUGAGAAUGUUGGCAUCAGUAGCGAGAUGUGGGUGAGAAUCCCACAGGCCGAAAACCUAAGGUUUCCUCAGGAAGGUUCGUCCGCUGAGGGUUAGUCGGGACCUAAGCCGAGGCCGAAAGGCGUAGGUGAUGGACAACUGGUUGAUAUUCCAGUACCACUACCAUCGUUAUUAUCGAUGGCGUGACGCAGGAGGAUAGUGUGUGCUAGCUAUUGGAUGCUAGUCUAAGCGUUUAGGCAGUGAGAGUAGGCAAAUCCGCUCUCAUAAUGCUGAGGCGUGAUGGGGAAGGUUC
rnacentral:rRNA from 1 species